GGAAAAACAGACUCAUAAAAAAUAACAUGUCUGGAAAUGAAGAUUUCUCUGGUAGAAAGAUCAAAGAGAAUAUAUCCUUUAGUACCAGAUUUAUAUCCAAGAAAAAUACAUUUCCUUGCUCUAGGGUCAAAUUUAGACCUGUGAGCAGUCAAAGUAGAAGCAAAACACAAAGCUCCAAAAACUUUUAAAUCAUGAAGAUCAGGAAGAGUGUUGUAAAAUAUUUCAUAUGGUUAUCUAUUUUCAAGUAAUGGGGUAGGUAAUCUGUUAAUGAGAUAAACUGAAUGCACAACAGCAUAAGACCAAAAGAUUUUGGGUAAAUUUGCUUGAAAUAAAAGUGCUCUUGCAAUAUUGAGGAUAUGCUGAUGUUUUCUUUCCACUACAGCAUUCUGUUGUGGUGUUUCAACACAUGUAAUCUGAUGCUCAAUACCUUUGGAAGAAUAAAAAUGUGGCAUAGCAAAUUCUAAUCCAUUGUCACUUUGAAUGAUUUUGAUUUUUGUGGAAAACUGAGUUUCUACUAGAGUAAUAAAGGAUUGAAGUAAAGAAGAUGCCUCAGAUUUUUGUUUCAUUAGGAAAAGCCAUGUAUUUCUGGAGAAAUCAUCUAC
rnacentral:misc_RNA from 1 species